GACGAACGCUGGCGGCGUGCCUAAUACAUGCAAGUCGAACGCACAGUUUAUACCGUAGCUUGCUACACCAUAGACUGUGAGUUGCGAACGGGUGAGUAACGCGUAGGUAACCUGCCUGGUAGCGGGGGAUAACUAUUGGAAACGAUAGCUAAUACCGCAUAAUAUUGAUUAUUGCAUGAUAAUUGAUUGAAAGAUGCUAUUGCAUCACUACCAGAUGGACCUGCGUUGUAUUAGCUAGUAGGUGAGGUAACGGCUCACCUAGGCGACGAUACAUAGCCGACCUGAGAGGGUGAUCGGCCACACUGGGACUGAGACACGGCCCAGACUCCUACGGGGGGCAGCAGUAGGGAAUCUUCGGCAAUGGACGAAAGUCUGACCGAGCAACGCCGCGUGAGUGAAGAAGGUUUUCGGAUCGUAAAGCUCUGUUGUAAGAGAAGAACGGGUGUGAGAGUGGAAAGUUCACACUGUGACGGUAUCUUACCAGAAAGGGACGGCUAACUACGUG
rnacentral:rRNA from 1 species